GACGAACGCUGGCGGCGUGCCUAAUACAUGCAAGUUGAGCGCUGAAGGUUGGUACUUGUACCAACUGGAUGAGCAGCGAACGGGUGAGUAACGCGUGGGGAAUCUGCCUUUGAGCGGGGGACAACAUUUGGAAACGAAUGCUAAUACCGCAUAAAAACUUUAAACACAAGUUUUAAGUUUGAAAGAUGCAAUUGCAUCACUCAAAGAUGAUCCCGCGUUGUAUUAGCUAGUUGGUGAGGUAAAGGCUCACCAAGGCGAUGAUACAUAGCCGACCUGAGAGGGUGAUCGGCCACAUUGGGACUGAGACACGGCCCAAACUCCUACGGGAGGCACCAGUAGGGAAUCUUCGGCAAUGGACGAAAGUCUGACCGAGCAACGCCGCGUGAGUGAAGAAGGUUUUCGGAUCGUAAAACUCUGUUGGUAGAGAAGAACGUUGGUGAGAGUGGAAAGCUCAUCAAGUGACGGUAACUACCCAGAAAGGGACGGCUAACUACGUG
rnacentral:rRNA from 1 species